GGAUACACUUGAAUUACUUCCGUGUAAAACGUUGCCAUCUGAUACAGAUCUUUUGAUAAAUGACCUCUUAUUUUCAUCGGCAAAGCCAUGGACGUGCCUUUCAAGAUUGUCAUGUUGAUCUGUACUCAGGUCCCAAAGAGCUGGCUUGCCCAGUUGGGGCUCAAAGUGCCCAAGGAACAAAUUUAUUGCAUCCUGUUUUUCAGCAUCCAUAUAGGCAUUGCUAUAGUAUCUUUGAAGUGUCCUGAAAAACUCCUGAGACUGAGUUGCUGCUUUC
rnacentral:misc_RNA from 1 species